GAUUUAAAGGUGCACUGAUAGAAGGAUUUGUUUGUAUUUAAUAAAUCAAUUUAUUAAAAUCUUUUUCAGAUAUUUUUUUGGGUGGAAAAAAUAUUUUUUUACUAUUAACAAUAUUCGUUAGUAUUAACAAAAUCUAUUUUUUAUGAGAACAAAAUUUUUGUAACUAUUAAGAAGCUUUAAUAUAUUGAAAAAAAUAUUUAUUUCCACCAAAUAAGAUUUGUUAAUAGUUAAAAAAUAUUUUGUUGGUGGUCGGUGUUGAUAGAUGGCUAUACUUAACGCGUAGUUGUAAAAAAAUAUAUAUGCAUAUACAUAACAGAAUACUCGUGUGUGCGUGCGCGUCAUGGUAGAUACGACAUACGACUCCGCGCCUUUUUUUUAUUGCGCGUCAUAACCCGCUGAAUAACUAGCUCUAUUUGCGAUUGUCAUACGAUAAGUUGCUUUUUAUUUUACACUUUGUGGAAAACAAUUAAUAAAAUGGAAGCUUUGCUACAAUCGUGGGAUUUAAGUGAGUUAUACUCGAUUUUUUGUGUAAACCAUACAACUGACUUUGAAAUCCUUGGUGAAUUCCUUACUAAAACUCGAGAAGAGACCCAAAAAGAAAUAAUCCCUAGUGUUGGUUUAUGACUUCGUUUAAAUAAAAAAUAUAAUGAAUAUAUUUCCCAUUACGAGAAGAUUAAUGUAAAGGAUGAAUUACCACCAAAUACUUGCUUGCAAUAAAAAAAAAAAUUAAUUGUAAACUUUUUUAACACUAAAACUUUUCUAAAAAUAAUAAGAGGAAUUUUUUAAAUAUUCAUAAU